rnacentral:tRNA from 1 species
GGCGCCGUGGCUCAAGCGGUAGAGCGCCAGCCUUGAGCUGAAGAGCGGAGGGACAGUGUGGCUGGUGCUGUGCAGGCCCUGCUGGCGCCA